CAAUUCCACCAUCAACGCACCGAAUAGACACCACAUCGACCUAUUUAUCUGGGACUUCUCUCUCUAAUAAUACAAUUCUUCCAAUUCCACCAUCAACGCACCGAAUAGACGCCACAUCGACCUAUUCAUCUGGGACUUCUCUCUCUAAUAAUACAGUAUGUAUCUGUCUAUGACAACAAUAAUGUCUGCGUCGCUAACAUGAAUUUUUUUUUUUCAGAUUCUUCCAAUUCCACCAUCAACGCAGCGAAUAGACACCACAUCGACUUCUUUCUCUAAUAAUACAGUAUGUCUAUAACAAUAAUGUCUGCAUCGCUAACAUGAAUUUUUUUUUUUCAGAUUCUUCCAAUUCCACCAUCAACGCACCGAAUAGACACCACAUCGACCUAUUCAUCUGGGACUUCUCUCUCUAAUAAUACAAUUCUUCCAAUUCCACCAUCAACGCACCGAAUAGACACC